rnacentral:rRNA from 1 species
GACCUACGGGAGGCAGCAGUGGGGAAUAUUGGACAAUGGGCGAAAGCCUGAUCCAGCAAUGCCGCGUGAGUGAUGAAGGCCUUAGGGUUGUAAAGCUCUUUUACCAGGGAUGAUAAUGACAGUACCUGGAGAAUAAGCUCCGGCUAACUCCGUGCCAGCAGCCGCGGUAAUACGGAGGGAGCUAGCGUUGUUCGGAAUUACUGGGCGUAAAGCGCACGUAGGCGGCUACUCAAGUCAGAGGUGAAAGCCCGGGGCUCAACCCCGGAACUGCCUUUGAAACUAGGUAGCUAGAAUCUUGGAGAGGUCAGUGGAAUUCCGAGUGUAGAGGUGAAAUUCGUAGAUAUUCGGAAGAACACCAGUGGCGAAGGCGACUGACUGGACAAGUAUUGACGCUGAGGUGCGAAAGCGUGGGGAGCAAACAUGAUUAGAUACCCUAGUAGUCU